GCUCCCUCAUUGGCCCUUCCUGGCCGCUCCGUUGACCAAGGGCCGGAUUGUCCUGGGCACUCUCCGGACCCUGGGCUGGCUCCAGGGGGUCCCUCUGACCUCCAAGAACUGACACCACGUCAGGGAUGGCAGCCAUGCCCAGAAUAGCCACCAGCGAAGGCCAAAGGUGAGGCUCCAAAUGUGAUCCUUCUCAGACGAGAGCCCGGCAUUAGGGUCUCGUUACAUAAGCGGAGACGUUGCAUGGGAAGCAUGGAGAGCUAGAGUUCUGGGGACGGAGCCAUACUUGUAAAUCUUUGGGGAGAGGAGCUUGAAUGGCUCAAUCAGAGCAAUGAGGCUUUUCAGCAAGAACUGAAAAAGCACCAGCCGGCUUUGGGAAUCCCCAAAGAGAGUUAAUAUGCAGAGGCCGCGGCUGAAUGGAGAGAAGAACAUUCAAAAGCCAAAACUGCUUCUAGGUUUCUUCAAAGGAGGGAAAGACAAAAACCCAGACGGGGCUGCUGAGCACAUUUUCCGUUUUUGAUUUUCAGAUGAAAAAUCCAUCCCGGUUGCGAGAGCCGCGGGGAAUUUCCUUCCCGAAACCAAAGCUGCAAGAUCAAAAUCCUGUUUGACAUCACUGAAUGCUCUCCAAUAUUCAUGGGACCAAGGGUGCAUCUACAUUGUUGAACUAAUCCAGUUUGAACUGCCAUGGCUCGGGGCUAUGUAUGCAAUCAUGGGAGCUGUAGUUUGACAAGGCCUUUAGCCUUGACUGCUAAAUAGUGUUGGUGCCUUCUUUCUCUGCUACUUUUAAACCGCAGUCACCCCUGUGAUAUAUGAUCACAGAUUCUCUGUGCCUUACCAGGACACUACAUUAAAUAAGUCACCAAACUUAUUUUAAACCAACUCAAAAUGACCAACUGAGUCUCCUUGAUCCCCUCAACCUAGGAUCAAUCUUCCCUGUGUCUCAUCAGAGCACAGACUGUCUCUCUUUUUUAAACUCUGCACUUCUUCAAGAAAACGGCAGUUGGCUCCGCCUACUUCUCCAUGGCAACCAGCCUCUGAGUGCUGAGACGCAAUAACUGUAAUACUUACCCUUUUAAAACACAAACACACAAUUAAACAUAACAUCUGUAAACCAAAAAUUUGCACUUCAUUACAGUGCCUCACCAAACUACAACUCCCAUGACUCCAUAGCAUUGAGCAGUUAAUGGGGGACCAGACUGCAUUAAUUCUACAGUGUAGAUGCACCUGAGGUCUCCCAUCUUCUUGGGUGUUGUGCCUAAAAAUGUUUAUGAUAAACAUGAAGCAAGUAUCAGUUACCAGUUUUGCAGUAUAGUGAACCUCGAACCACAUUACAUCAAAAGCCUGGCAAAAGGUUGGACGCUUGGGUGCAAAUGCUGAGCCUGGGAGCUGUCCAUGGAGGUGUUUUAUUGGAUGCGCUGGAAUGAUUGGGAGCUGGGCCUGGCUGGCCGGAACACUCAACUGCCUCCUUCAAGAGCCAUCGCUUUUCUGGAACAGGUUCGGCUCGGCACAAAGUAACCUGUCAGCUGCCAUCACAUUACAAGUAAUGAAAUACAGUUGAAGAAAAUCAAGGUAUCAAAAUACUUUCCUAGGCCUUAAGAAUGUCAACUGUCUUGGUUAGAUUAUUGACAUGCUAGCACAAUUUAGGACAUUUUAACUUUUUGGAUUACAAGUCUCAAAAUCCCUUAGCUGUCUGAGUGAUUCUGAUAGUUUAACCUCCAACAAUAACAUUUCUGAGCUCUGAUUUAGAUACUUACUGUAUAUACUUGAGUAUAAGCCUAGUUUUUCAGCCCUUUUUUUAAGACUGAAAAAGCCCCCCUCGGCUUAUACUCGGGUAAGGGUCCUGGUUGGCUUAUAUUUGGAUAAUAACUAAACACAGCUGUCUAUUCUAAACAAUAUCUGAGAAAUAUGCACCACAGUAAAGGUUCGUAACUUACAGAGUAUAAAGAUUUAUAGACUGUAAUCAUCCAAAUUUAAUUGCUACACAGAGCAGUUUUCAGUAUAAAACAUAUAUCAGACAUAUAUCAACAAGACUCCAACUAAAGUUUGUUAGCGACACAGUAUGUGUACAUUCAAUCUCUUCAAAAUGGCAUGUAAUAUGCUGUAAAACUAAAUAUAUCAGUGUACAAAUCAAUUGGCUCAAACCUGGCUUGGAGUCAAAACAAAUCAAAGUCUCUGUAGUCUUGGAGUAGUUCUAUAGGACUCCUCAGGUUGUAAAUGCAGUCAAUUGGCUGUAGCUUUAGUUUGUAACAAAUGUUGCAGUCCUUUACAGUUCCCAGCCAGGAAGCCCGGUCAGAUAGAUGUUAUUUUAAAGUGGCUGGCUGUGAGACGAAGUAAGCUGUCCACAUAAGCCAUUUACUACUGGUUCCCAGGUUUACUCCAGUUUCAGUUAACCCUUCAUCUGGUAAGCGGCAAUGUUUUGAAUAUUUGUAUUGUUGGCUCAGCUUCAAGUUUUAUGUUCGCAGUGUCUACGUGCUGAUUGUGGAUUCUAUAGUGCGAGCAAUUAAAUCUGGACGAUUGCAGUCUAAAAAUCUUUAUACUUUGUAAGUUACGACUGUGUGCCACUACAGCUGACAGAAUUGGAUCAUCAGUUGUAUUAUUAUUUGUAUUAUUGUUAACAUUAUUAUGUAUGAUGCUCUAAUAUACAUAUUGUGUUCUAUGUUUUGAACCUUUACUGUGGUGCAUAUUUCUCAGAUAUGGCUUAUAUUUGGGUCAGCUUAUACUCGAGAAUAUAUGGUACAUUUAUUAUUUUUCUCUAUUAUUAUUGGUAUUAUUACAUUUAUUAUUUUUCUCUAUUAUUGUUGCUACUAUUACAUUUAUUUUACUCUAUUUUACUAUUAUUAUUAUUAAUACAUUUAUUAUUUCACUCUGAUCUUGUUAUUAUUAUUGCAUUUAUUAUUUUACUCUAUUUAUUAUUACAUGUAUUAUUUUCCUGUAUUUAUUAUUAUUAUUAUUACAUGUAUUAUUUUACUCUAUUAUUAUUAAAAGGAUACAUAAGCACAUUUACAUUGAAGAAGAUGAAAAUAAUGAUUUAAUCAGAGUUGGACAGUCUUAUCUUAAAUUUGAGCUUUAUGUAAAUAUUCAAAAAUAUUUAAACUACUGAUGCCUCAAUUAAUGUAAUUUUAUUGGUCUCUCGGCUUAUAAUGGAGUCAAUGUUUUCCCAGUUUUUUGUGAUAAAAUUAGGUGCCUUGGCUUAUAUUCGGGUCAGCUUAUACUCAAGUAUAUACGGUACUUACUUACUUACUUACUUUUACUUACUUACUUAGGCGAUCUCUCAUAGUUCGAGUCUCACCGAUCUUAUAUCUAUGCAAUCCAUUUCUCCCUUCUAAAUAUAAUACUUUACAUUUCUCCUUGUUGAAAUUCAUUUACGUGUCCUCUAAGCACUCAGCCUUGCAAAGAAAAGGGAAAGAGAGAGAGAAAUAAAUAAAAUUAUUGAUUUCCACUUGUGCAAAACUGCUGCCCUGCCCCAAUUAGUGCAGAUUUUCCUUUGAUGGCUUUAAGGACCCUUAGAUCCUCAUUCUCCCUUGAAAACAAUGCCUGCACCUUAUUAGCUUGUUUCCUCUCCAACUUUGCAAGCGAUUGAUGCUCUUGGGUUGCUUUCCUUUCACAAAUGGUUUUGGCUCGCAGAUAACGAAUGCCAUGAUUUCCCAGUUGUGUGUGGCUUAACACUUUUAAUGGUUUCCUUCCAGUUCUGGGUGAACCUCCAGCAAAUGGACGUACGUUCCCAUCUUUUCAACAGGUUUUCGUGUUUACCUCUUUCUCUCCGUUGCUCCCUUUUCUUGGCAAGAGAUGAAACCGCCUGGUUCCAAAACCAUCUUAUCACAGAUUUUGAUGUGUUUCAUAUUGUAACCCAAAAUAAUUCAAAAGAAGCGUCAUUUGGGGAAAAUAUUAAUCAAGGUUGCUAUUUGUUUUCUAUGUCACAUCUCCAAUCUGCAAUUAUCAAAGACUUAACAUUUUCAAUCAAUCAAUCAAUGCUUCUGGAGCUGACUCUUGGCUCUUGCAUGAUACAGUAGAGUCUCACUUAUCCAACGUUCUGGAUUAUCCAAUGCAUUUUUGUAGUCAAUGUUUUCAAUGCGUUGUGAUAUUUUGGUGCUAAAUUCGUAAAUACAGUAAUUACUACAUAGUAUUAAUGUGUAAUGAACUACUUUUUCUGACAAAUUUGUUGUAUAACAUGAUGUUUUGAUGCUCAAUUUGUAAAAUCAUAACCUAUUUUGAUGUUUAAUAGGCUUUUUCUUUAUCUCUCCUUAUUAUCCAACAUAUUCGCUUAUCCAAUGUUCUGCCGGCCCAUUUAUGUUGGAUAAGUGAGACUCUACUGUGUGUAUAUCUAUAUAUAUAAAAGGGUAAAGUUGUUUGCACCAUGACUAUAACAACACAACUAAACGCCCCAGAAAUACGAAACUUGGCAACACAACACAAAAGCCUUGCCUCACGAUUCUUACAACACAACCACACCACAAAAACACAAUCCGGAGCCACAAACCCGAAAAAACCCGGCAAAGAUGCACAACAAUGCAACUACAUGACCCAAACACAUGAAACUUGGCAACACAACCCAAAAUCCUUGCCCCUAGGUGCCGACAACAAAAAGAAAAGAAAAAUAAACUCCUAAUUAGAAGAAAAUGACUAAUUGUUUUUAUCCAAUUGCUGCCAGUUAGAAACAUCAGGAGAGAAUACAUUUCAAACAUGACCAGGCAGACCACAGAACUCAGGGCAACCCAAUACAAAGACAAACAAAAAUAAUAAAAUAAAUACAAAAAAACAUAAAAAAUAAAAUACAAUAAUACAAUAAAAAAACAUAAAUAAAAAUAAUAUAAUCAAAUAAUAAUAAAACAAUAAAAAUAAAAUAUAUACAAAUAAUACAAUAAAAAUAAUAAAAACACUAAAAAUAAUUAAUAACACUAAAAAAUUAAUACAAUAAAAUACUAUAAUAACACAAAAUAACUAAAAAUAAUAAAAGAAAAUAAUAAAAUAUAAUAAAUAAAAAGAUAAGUUACAAUAAAAUUAAUUUAAAAAUACAAAUAUCGUCAAAUAAAAAUUCCAUAACAAUUUUUAACCAAUACCACCACCACUUGCCACAGCAACGCAUGGCCGGGGACACCUAGUAUAUAUAUAUAUAUAUAUAUAUAUAUAUAUAUAUAUAUAUGUAAUGUGCAUUUUACUAUGGAGUAAACAACAAAACCACUGAACCAAAUCACACCCAAUUUGGCCACAAAAGACAUCGUCAUCCAAAAUAUGUCUUUCAAACAAAACAAAAAAAAAAAACCUAGAAAAAUAAAGUCCAAAUUAGAGGAUGAGAAAGAGCCGUUUUUUCCCCUUGCUGCCAGUUAGAAGGGCAGGCUCCGCCCACUUUGUCUCCUAGCAACCCACUCAUCAACAAUGGAGCUCAGGGCCUCUUCACUCAGGCCUCUUCCACACUGCCUAUAAAAUACAGAUGAUCUGAUUUGAACUGGAUUAUAUGGCAGUGUAGACUCAAAGCCCUUUUACACACCUAUAUAAGCCAGAAUGCUAAGGCAGGAAAUCCACAGUAUAUGCUUUGAACUGGAUUAUCUUGAGUCCACACUGCCAUAUAACCCAGUUCAGUGUGGAUUUUAUACAGCUUUGUGGAAGGGGCCUCAUAUAAUCCAGUUCUAAGCAGAUAAUAUAAGAUUAUAAAUACAAUAUGAAAUCAUUACUGUGGUAUAAUAAUACAGAACAAUAUAAUCUCUAAAACCAGUACAGUAAAUGAAGAGCAACACUCUGAAAGCAGGGAAAUUGGGAAUUCCGGAAAAGAAACAAUCAGGGCCAGCUAACACCUCCCAACAAAGGAUUGCCCCAGGCAGCAAGCAGCCAGGCUUUGAAGCUGCAAGGCUAUUAAAUGCUAAUCAAGUUGACUAAUUGCAGCAUUCAUACCUGCCACACUGAGACUAUUAAUUGCUAUUCAACCUGGCCAAACAAGGAUUCCGCAAGGUAGAAAGCGGCCAAGCUUGCAAGCAGCAAGGCUAUUCAGUGCUAUUAAACCUGACCAACCAAGAUUUGCCCUAGAUAGAAAACCCCCAGGCUCUGAAGCCACGAGGCUACUCCGUCCCAUUCAACCUGGCCAACAAAAGAUGCCCUAUGUAGAAAGCGGCCAGGCUUUUAAGCUGCAAGACUAUUCAGUGCAAUUCAAUCUGCCCAAACAAGGAUUCCCCUACAAAGGAAGUAGCCAGUCUUCACAGCGGUUCUUGGAUUGAGGGUGCUACUCCAGCUACUCCAGAAAACGGCCAGGCUUUGAGGCUGCAAGGCUAUUCACUGCUACUCCACUUGGCCAACAAAUGAGUCCCAUAAGCCACAGCAACGCGUGGCCGGGCAAAGCCAGUAAGUAUAUAUAUGUUGGUUGUUUGCAUCAGAAGCCUUUCUUUUUGGGAGAAAAGUUGUCACCAAAAUCAUUUCUCAAUCCAAAUUGUCUGUCAGAACUGAGAUUUCCAUGGAAUUUUCUAUCUAAUGAGGUUUGGCACUACUUUAACUGGAAUUGUGAGAGCUGUAGUUUUACAAAGUCUUUAGCCUUCUCUGCCCAAGAGUACUGGGCCAUGGCAGCCUAAGUGUAGUUAAAUUGUGUUAAUUCUCCAAUGUAGAUGCACCCCGAUAUCUCUUUCUCCAUCACAUUUGACACAGAUCACAUCUCAUCAGUGUACCAUCCUCACUUCAACAUUCAAUGCUAUAUCUUCAGGAUCUUGUCCAUACUAGCUGCCCUUCCAAGUCCUAGGAGGCAUCCACACUGUAGAAUUAACCCAGUUUGACACCACUUGAAUAUCCAUGGCUGUUGUGCUGUCAACUGUUAACACUUAGAUGGUUAAUACUUGGAUAUUAUACACAUUUUCUCAGGCAAAACGCUCAAGGUGAAGGGAGACUUCGGUUGCGUCUACACUGUGGAGUGAAUGCAGUUUAACACCACUUUAACUGCUGUGGCUCAGUCCUGUGGGGGCAUGGCAGUUGUAGUUUGGUGAGGUUCUAGAACUCUGGCAGGAAAAUUUAUUAAUUUAUUUAUUAACGACAUUUAUAUCCCGCCCUUCUCACCCCGAAGUUAUAUAUACAUACAAUCUAUAUAUAUAAAAGAGUGAUGGCAUCACGGCAAUUCACAAAACAACAAAACUACAGGCCCCCCAACCUCAAAAUUUGACAACACAACCCAUCAUCCACGCCUCAAGGUUGAUACAACAAAAAGAAAAGAAAAAUAAAGUCCUAAUUAGAGGGAGAGCAAUAAUUGUUUUUAUCCAAUUGCUGCCAGUUUAGAGGGCUAAUCUCUGCCCACUUGGUUGCUUAGCAACCAAGGGACAGCCAGGUUUCAGUUAGGGGACAGGCAGAUUUAGGCCUCACUUAGACUUCUUCCACAGAUUAUCUAAUUUGCACUGGAUUAUAUGGCAGUGUAGACUCAAGGCCCUUCCACACAGCUAUAUAACCCAUUUAUAAUCUUAUAUUAUCUGCUUUGCACUGGAUUAUCUUGACUCCACACUACCAUAUAAUCCACUUCAGUGUGCAUUUUAUACAGCUGUGAAGAAGGGGCCUCAUAUAAUCCAGUUCUAAGCAGAUAAUAUAAGAUUAGAAAUAUACAGUAGAGUCUCACUUAUCCAACGUAAACAGGCCGGCAGGAUAAGUGAAUAUGUUGGAUAAUAAGAAGGGAUUCAGGAAAAGCCAAUUAAACAUCAAAUUAGGUAAUCGUUAUACAAAUUAAGCACCAAAACAUCAUAUUAUACAACAAAUUUGACAGAAAAAGUAGUUCCAUGCGCAGUAAUGCUAUGUAGUAUUUACAGUAGAGUCUCACUUAUCCAACACUCGCUUAUCCAACGUUCUGGAUUAUCCAACGCAUUUUUGUAGUCAAUGCUUUCAAUAUAUCGUGAUAUUUUGGUGCUAAAUUCAUAAAUACAGUAAUUACUAUAUAGCAUUACUGUGUACUGAACUACGUUUUCUGACAAAUUUGUUGUCUAACAUGAUGUUUUGGUGCUUAAUUUGUAAAAUCAUAACUUAAUUUGAUGUUUAAUAGGGUUAUCCUUAAUUCCUCAUUAUCCAACAUAUUCGCUUAUCCAACGUUCUGCCGGCCCGUUUAUGUUGGAUAAGUGAGACUCUACUGUACUGUAUUUACAAAUUUACCACUAAAAUAUCACAAUGAAUUGAAAACACUGACUACAAAAACAUUGAUUAUGAAAAGACAGACUGCGUUGGAUAAUCCAGAACAUUGUAUAAGCGAAUGUUGGAUAAGUGAGAUUCUUCUUUAAUAUGAAAUAAUUACUGGGAUAGAAUAAUGCAGAACAAUAUAAUCUCUAAAACCAGGACAGUAAAUAAACAGGGGAAUUCCACACAGGAAACAAUCGGGGCCAGCUAACACCUCCCAACAAAGUAUUCCCAUCAUCAAAGUCUGGCAAAUCCUGUUUUCUCAGGGCCACAGACAGUAGAAGCACAUAAAAUAUCACAAACAACACCACUCUGAAAACAAGGGAAUUCCAAACAGGAAAGAAUCAGGGCCAGCUAACACCUCCCAACAGAGUAUUCCCAUCAUCAAAGUCUGGCAAAUCCUCUGUUUUCUCAGGGCCACAGACAGCAGGAGCACAUAAAAUAUCGCAAACAACACCACUCUGAAAACAAGGGAAUUCCAGACAGGAAACAAUCAGGGCCAGCUAACACCUCCCAACAAAAAAUUCACUCAGGGAGGAAACAGCCAGGCUUUAAAGCUGCAAGGCCAUUACAUCCUAAUCAUUUUUCCUAAUUGCAGCAUUCAUACUUGCCUCCAACAAACAAACAAAAACCAAUCAGAAAUAUUGUAUAUUCACAACCUUUAGGAAAUAAUAUCCCCUGAUGGCGCAGCGUGUUAAAGCGCUGAGCUGCUGAACUUCUGGACUGAAAGGCCACAGGUUUGAAUUGGGGGAGCGGAGAGAGCCCCCACUGUUAGCCCCAGCUUCUGCCAACCCAGAAGUUCGAAAACAUGCAAAUGUGAGUGCAUCAAUAGUUACUGCUCCGGCGGGAAGGUAACGCCGCUCCAUGUAGUCAUCCCA